rnacentral:rRNA from 1 species
GACAGAGGUGCCGAGCGUUAGGCGGAAUCACUGGGCUUAAAGCGUGUGUAGGCGGGUCGUUAAGUGCCUUGUGAAAUCCCACAGCUCAACUGUGGAACUGCUUGGCAUACUGGCGAUCUUGAGCCAGCUAGAGGCAACCGGAACAAACGGUGGAGCGGUGAAAUGCGUAGAUAUCGUUUGGAACGCCAAUGGUGAAAACAGGUUGCUGGGGCUGCGCUGACGCUGAGACACGAAAGCCAGGGGAGCGAACGGGAUUAGAUACCCCGGUAGUCCUGGCUGUAAACGAUGUCCACUAGAUUCUGGCGGCUCUGACGCCGUCAGGAUCGAAGCAAAAGUGCUAAGUGGACCGCCUGGGAAGUACGGUCGCAAGGCUAAA